rnacentral:rRNA from 1 species
UUAGGUUAAGUUAUUAAGGGCGUAUGGUGGAUGCCUUGGCACUAGGAGCCGAUGAAGGACGUGACUAACUGCGAUAUGCUUCGGGGAGUUGUAAGUAAACUAUGAUCCGGAGAUUUCCGAAUGGGGAAACCUAACAGGUUUUACCGCCUGUUAUCACUAAGUGAAUUCAUAGCUUAGUUGAAGGUAGACGUGGGGAACUGAAACAUCUAAGUACCCACAGGAAGAGAAAGAAAUUCGAUUCCCUCAGUAGCGGCGAGCGAACCGGGAAGAGCCCAAACUAAGAAGCUUGCUUCUUAGGGUUGUAGGACUGAACAUUUGAGUUACCAAGAAAUGAAGUAGUUGAAUAAUCUGGGAAGAUUAGCCAAAGAGAGUGAUAGCCUCGUAAGCGAAACUUCGUUUCCUCAGUUCAGGAUCCUGAGUACGGCGGAACACGUGAAACUCCGUCGGAAUCCGGGAGGACCAUCUCCCAAGGCUAAAUACUACCUAGUGACCGAUAGUGAACCAGUACCGUGAGGGAAAGGUGAAAAGCACCCCGGGAGGGGAGUGAAAUAGUUCCUGAAACCAUAUGCCUACAAGUAGUCAGAGCUCGUUAAUGAGUGAUGGCGUGCCUUUUGUAGAAUGAACCGGCGAGUUACGUUAGCGUGCGAGGUUAAGGAGGAAAGUCCGGAGCCGUAGCGAAAGCGAGUCUGAAUAGGGCGAGAUAGUACGUUGACGUAGACCCGAAACCAGGUGACCUACCCAUGCCCAGGUUGAAGGUGCGGUAAAACGCACUGGAGGACCGAACCCGUGUAUGUUGAAAAAUGCUGGGAUGAGGUGUGGGUAGAGGUGAAAUUCCAAACGAACUUGGAGAUAGCUGGUUCUCUCCGAAAUAGCUUUAGGGCUAGCCUCGGAGUUAAGAAUCGUGGAGGUAGAGCACUGUUUGGACUAGGGGCCCGUCUUGGGUUACUGAAUUCAGAUAAACUCCGAAUGCCACAGAUUUAUAUCCGGGAGUCAGACUGCGAGUGAUAAGAUCCGUAGUCGAAAGGGAAACAGCCCAGACCACCGAUUAAGGUCCCAAAAUAUGUGUUAAGUGGAAAAGGAUGUGGAAUUGCAUAGACAACUAGGAUGUUGGCUUAGAAGCAGCCACCAUUUAAAGAGUGCGUAAUAGCUCACUAGUCGAGUGAUCCUGCGCCGAAAAUGUAACGGGGCUAAACACAUUACCGAAAUUGUGGAUGUACCUUAGGGUACAUGGUAGGAGAGCGUUCUAAGGACGGCGAAGCUAGACCGUAAGGACUGGUGGAGUGCUUAGAAGUGAGAAUGCCGGUAUGAGUAGCGAAAGAUCAGUGAGAAUCUGGUCCACCGUAUGACUAAGGUUUCCUGGGGAAGGCUCGGCCUCCCAGGGUUAGUCGGGACCUAGGCCGAGGCCGGGAGGCGUAGGCGAUGGAUAACAGGUUGAGAUUCCUGUACUGGUUAAACUUGUUUGAACAAUGGAGGGACGCAGGAGGCUAUCGAUGCGUACUGUUGGAUAUGUACGUUCAAGCAACAAGUCUGUAGAUGAGUCAAAUGCUUAUCUACUUAAGGACAAGUUGUGAUGAGGAGCGAAAUUUAGUAGCGAAGUGAGAGACGUCACACUGCCAAGAAAAGCUUCUAGUUAGAGUUUAAUCACCCGUACCGCAAACCGACACAGGUAGUCGAGGCGAGUAGCCUAAGGUGAGCGAGAGAACUCUCGUUAAGGAACUCGGCAAAAUGACCCCGUAACUUCGGGAGAAGGGGUGCUGAGCGCAAGCUCAGCCGCAGUGAAUAGGCCCAGGCGACUGUUUAUCAAAAACACAGGUUUCUGCAAAAUCGUAAGAUGAAGUAUAGGGGCUGACGCCUGCCCGGUGCUGGAAGGUUAAGAGGAUGGGUUAGCGUAAGCGAAGCUCAGAAUUGAAGCCCCAGUAAACGGCGGCCGUAACUAUAACGGUCCUAAGGUAGCGAAAUUCCUUGUCGGGUAAGUUCCGCCCCGCACGAAAGGCGUAACGAUCUGGGCACUAUCUCAACGAGAGACUCGGUGAAACUAUAAUACCCGUGAAGAUGCGGGUUACCCGCGACAGGACGGAAAGACCCCAUGG